rnacentral:rRNA from 1 species
GACGAACGCUGGCGGCGUGCUUAACACAUGCAAGUCGAACGGAAAGGCCCUGCUUUUGUGGGGUGCUCGAGUGGCGAACGGGUGAGUAACACGUGAGUAACCUGCCCUUGACUUUGGGAUAACUUCAGGAAACUGGGGCUAAUACCGGAUAGGAGCUCCUGCUGCAUGGUGGGGGUUGGAAAGUUUCGGCGGUUGGGGAUGGACUCGCGGCUUAUCAGCUUGUUGGUGGGGUAGUGGCUUACCAAGGCUUUGACGGGUAGCCGGCCUGAGAGGGUGACCGGCAACAUUGGGACUGAGCUACGGCCCAGACUCCUACGGGAGGCAGCAGUGGGGAAUAUUGCACAAUGGGCGGAAGCCUGAUGCAGCAACGCCGCGUGCGGGAUGACGGCCUUCGGGUUGUAAACCGCUUUCGCCUGUGACGAAGCGUGAGUGACGGUAAUGGGUAAAGAAGCACCGGCUAACUACGUG